rnacentral:rRNA from 1 species
UACGUAGGGUGCAAGCGUUAAUCGGAAUUACUGGGCGUAAAGCGUGCGCAGGCGGUGAUGUAAGACAGUUGUCGAAAUCCCCGGGCUCAACCUGGGAACUGCAUCUGUGACUGCAUCGCUGGAGUGCGGCAGAGGGGGAUGGAAUUCCGCGUGUAGCAGUGAAAUGCGUAGAUAUGCGGAGGAACACCGAUGGCGAAGGCAAUCCCCUGGGCCUGCACUGACGCUCAUGCACGAAGCGUGGGGAGCAACAGG